rnacentral:lncRNA from 1 species
UGGAUGUCAAAAAAUUUUCUUGUAACACUGAAAGCAAAAACUGAAUAUAUCAGUUUUUCAUCAUUGAUUUCUCUUCACUCUAUUUACUUUAUUUCCUCUUUCUUCCUUUUCCCAGAGAUGAUCCUUUGCUUCUGUGGGGAAUUAUGGGGAAUGUAGAAAUAAGGAUAACUGAUAACCAUUCUUUAUGGCCACUACAGGAAUUCUCCAAAAGAAGUUAAUCAUGCAGUAAAAGAUAUUUAUUUUGAGCAAUUUGCCGAAAGUGGAGCAGCAAUUAUAGGCAAACAACAACUGGCAUCUUGCACCAGCUGUACAGUCAGCAAUUGCAGCAAUUGGUUUUCCAGGGAUCUUGACAGAAGCAACAUGGGCCCUUUGUGGACAACAAAACAUAAACCUUACAUAUAUGUUAAUAAUGUCUAAGGCAGGAAAAAUAAAGAAUAUGCUAAGUCUUCACUUUGGAGAAGUGGUAGAAGAUCCUUCCUCAGGCUCUUUAUCGUGUACUUCUGUGCAAUCAAAUUAUCUGUCAGUUGAUGGAGAAACUGAAAUGUUGAAGAGACUUCCCGAGGCCUUAGCCUGAAGAGGAUUUUUCAUUUGAGGUAUGUAGGAGAAGAGAUUUAAUUAAAAAGAAUGCUCAUAUUUUUCCUAAGGAUUAUCAAAGGCAAAAAAAAAAAAAAAAAAAAAAAAAAAAAAAAAAAAAAAAAAAAAAAAAAAAAAAAAAAAAAAAAAAAAAAAAAAUCAGAAAAAUAAGCAAACAAACAACAGCAAAAACACAAAACAGAACUAUUUUGAAAUAACUUGUUCAAACUGGUACAAAGUAGGCAAGCAUCGAUCUUUACAGACAAUUAUACAAGCUCUUCUCUUAUGCAGUACUUUCCAAACGCAAGUUGACACAUGUCCAGAGCCACAGCUUAGAACAUUCCCCUAUAAAAACUUAAUUUGCAUAUAAAGCAGCCAUUAUGGUCAAAAUCCAGCUGCUGAACUGCCCCCACAGUUCUCACAGGGCAAGCUAGAGACAGUGGCAUCUGCUAGGUUAUGUUCUACAGGACUGGAAUGGACAGUCCAGGAUCCCUAAAUGUAUACCAUGUGGUUAAGGGGAAGCAUCCAGGGCUGAAAAUGGACAACUGCUCAUCAUCUGGAAAUAUUGUGCAUGAGUUUGGAAGAAGAAAAAAUCAAAGCUGGAGAUGAAAGAAUAGAUAGAAUGCAAGUGUGUAGGAUAUAAUGAUUUAAAUUCUGAAAACUGAACCAGGGGAAAUUGCUUCUUUCACUGAACUGAUACCAAAGUGUAUGAUAUCAUUCUGAGUUUUGCACUAAGGACUUGUCUAUGAGCAUCAGUGAGAUGUGACCUUGUUCAGACUGUGGUAUUUAAUGAGAUAUUCAUUCCUUGUACUAAGGUCUGUUAAGAAAGAAAAAUAGAAUGUUGAAUGUCUAAGUUGUAAUGACCUACAGAGGGAACCAUACAAUUGAGUGAAUUUAUUUAAUUGUUAAAGAACAACAGCAUCCUCCUAGUCUUUGCCUUAUAUGCUGUCUUCUUCCUGAAUAUAUAACAUAAUCAUUCAUAGGUUUAUUUUGAAUCUCAUAUUAAUGUAUCAAAUAUAUUUUCCUAUUAUUGACUAAAACUGCUUACUUUGUCUUCUUCCAAACCAUGGUGUACAUACACAUUCACAUUCUGUAAAUAUUGCAGAAUUCAUAUUCUGUAAACUUGUAAAUAAUUUCUUGCCUUGAUAAAAAUUACCAAACAGUUAGGAAUUGUUCCUUCACAAUUAGGAAUAAUGAUUUUAUCACCUUACAGAGAUUUCAAUGGAAAUUAUGAUGAGGGGAAUUUGUUUUAAGCAGACUAUUACAUGAAGCACAUGGUGUUGUCUAUAUGUUCUCUCUAUACACGUGAUUUCUGCAGAAUAUUAUAAAACAAGCCAAGGGUAAUAAAAGGAGCUACAAAGUUAACUGCAUGAAGUCGUUGAAUGUCUCUUUAUUAAAGCUGCUAUGCUGUUGUAACAACUUUUCUGUUCAGGUCACCAAUUCUGGAAGGCUUUCACCCAGCACGAACAUUCAGUUAAUGGCAUUGUAAUACUUUCAAAGCAAUAUUUGCCUUUUGGGUAAGACAUAAAUUAUGAAAGACAUAAUUCAUAUCAAGGCCAAUUAGAAACUUUUCAGUAUCCACUACAUAACAGACUAAUGGCAUCAAUAUUUUCAUUUAUUUAACAGAAGCAUGAAUCUCAGAAUUAAUUAUUCUAGUGAAAUUAUGUGAAGGACCUUAAAAUUAAAUAGUACAGCAAAAUUCAGAAUUGUACUUUAUAUCAAUAGCAAAUAUUACUCCAUGUUUAAGUCCUAUAUUUAAGCUUAUACUUUGGAAAUUAUUUAGAUAUUACAGUAGGUGUGUAAUUAGUUUGUUCUAGCCUUGGAUUUGAUUUUUAACAAAAUCAAUCAAGAAAACUUAAAAUAAGGUAUAAUGAAGAAAAAAAUGUAUAAUAAUAUGAAUUGGUAUAGUAAUAAUAAUAAUAGUAAUAACAACAAGAGUAAUAAUAAUUGUACCAGGAUGAUAUUCAGGAUCAAAUUCAUAUAUAUUUUCUGAAAGAAAAUGAUUGAAAGGAAUACCCUUCCUGCCUACCAAAUCAUUUAAUGGAUAAUUACGAUAUUUGAUAUAUAUAUGAUAUUUGAAAAAAAAAAAAACAAAAAACAAAAAACAUAUUGAAUUAACUUUUGCAUACCUUGCUAGUGCAAAGUUAAUUCAUUGAAGAUUUCUAAUAAUCUCUUAGUAUUUGAAGAAGCAUCACUUCUCUUGGAAGGUGUUAAUUAUUUUAUAUCACUUACGCAUGAAUUUUCUUUAUCUAUUGGUCUUUAACUUUUGGAGUUAUCAAUGAGUUCUGGAUUAAUGACUCUGAAGAAGGAUCAUAUAACACAAAUACAGUCCAGUCAACUUAUUAUCAUCUCUCAGAAUAACUUAUUUUAAUGAUUUUGGUCAUGGAUGAGUGUACUCUUUGACUGGACUUCCUUUGUGAUUUAAAAGUAUUUAAAAGUAUUACUAACUUCCUGGUUUCAUUUUAUAUGCAUAUCUAAUAAAUUAUUAUAUUUCCUUUCUCUCUUGUUAUUUGUUUUAAAAGUGAUGCUGGAUAUAUGCAUAUUCAUCUUUUAAUGAUAAAAAUUUUUAUUGAACUUCAUAAAUGUUUUCUGAUGACAUAAUACCAUCAACCAUGGAAUCACCAUGGAGUCUUUAAAUCCCUUCAAACAUCCUGAAGCAUUGCAAAUGUUGAGAUUGUUUGCUUUUGGCUAUGUAUUUGAAAAGCUUACUUUUUCACCUGUAAGUUAAAGCUAAUAAAAAUACAUCUAGUAGAUGUAUUGACAUUUUCUGUGACCAUGCUAGAAUCUGCACUACACAGAUAAGCCCUAGAAAUGGGAAAGUGAAGAGCCAUAAUCAGCCCAAAUAAAUUUUACUGUAUGUACCAUAUUGUUAGUCUCUGACUGUCAGCAGAACUGCUACUGCCUUAUGAACAAUUAACUUCUGUGAUAUUCAUAUUUCUUCUCUGCUUUCCUUCUUAUCUUUCAUUUACUUGGAGUUCAAUAACUCUACUUUUAGGGGUAAAGCAAUUAUUCACUGUCAAGUUCAGCUAAAUAAAUCUUUCUUUCUUAAAAUAAAAUUUGGAACUACCUCAGAACAUUUUCUUACUUGUAGAUCCCACAGAAUAAACACAAUCACAUCAUUUUUGUGAUCAUAAAGCUUUGAAUGGACAGAAGUCAGUCAUACUGUCCUCACAUAUAGAGGACAUCAGCAGAACCUACAUUCUUUCUGUAAUCAUUUCAAAAUAUGUGCAUAGGAUUUGGACUUUGUAAUGUACUGGGGCUGUGGGGGUGUUCUUUGGUCAAAAUGACUCAACCCAGAGGCAAAUAAGUUACAGCCUUCUGGUGGUUUGAAUGUGCUCUGUGAUUGGGGAUUAAGUGGUCCGUUAUUUACGCGUUGACUGUUUAUUCUCAUUUAAUCAUACCAUACAUGGAGUCAUUAGACAGAGUAAGCUGCAGUAAAUGAUAAAUGCACUAGCAAUACAAUAUCAUUGUCUAGAAAUUUGGGUUCACAGUCCCAGAAUUAAAUCCCUGCAAAAGGAUUGGAGGACAUUUUCUGGUUGGAGCACUGCAGGACUGGCAACGUUCUGCUUUCCUUACUCCAGAAAACACACCAAGGGAAGGUAGAAAUGGCAAGGAUCACAUUUAACUGGCCAUGAGGUUGUUUCGUUACCUAUGUAGAAGCAGUCAAUUAGGCAGAAAAUGGUAUACUGGCAUUUUGGACUAUCAACUGCCUCUUAACUGAAGAAGUAGAAGAAUAAAGAUAAGUGGUUAGAAAGCACAUGAGGUUAGGUCAGUCUGGGGAAGACAACCCUUAGAGAAGUAUAGCUACAUCCCUUGAGAUGAAACAGUUCUGUCAUAUUUCAAAAACAUAUUUACUAAAUGGACAUGCCACCAAGCCCAAAUGUUUAACUAUAUUUUUGUAUCCAUGUGAAUUAGUAUAAAAAUUGGGCAAGGAAGAUUACCAAGAUUGGAGCUAAAAAAGUUUGCAGAUUUCAUGCAUUUCUAGUCAGGUAUCAUACUGUAUUGUCUGUGAAAGACAACUGUGAUGUCCAGAAAAAAAUUCUCUCCUUUGUUACCUGCCAGACUAUUGUGAACAGCCUGUGUCAAAAGUAUAAUUAGUCUUGGAAAGUGGAAGUUACAAUGGCAGCUGUCCAUGCAAUUAUUUAUUAUUUAUUAUCUAUUAGUUAUUAGUUAUUAUUAAAAAGUAAUCCAAAAAAUGUUGUAGGAAAAUAAUGUAUUUGUUAUGCAUUAUACACCAGCAGUAAGAUAUACUAUUGAAAGUAUGGGCUUAGGAACUUAGAGAACUGUUUACAUUUCAAAGUAUUUAAGUAUUUUAUAGUUUACUCUUACUGAAAUUCAAGAUUUCAAUUGUUUUGUAGUUUCUAAGGUGGGCUUAAACAAACAUCUCAGAAGAAAAGGCAAUGUAGCAAAUGCUGAUUCCUUUUUGUGUUUAAAAUGUGGUUCUGACAAUAUAGAAUCAUAGAACCAUAGAAUAUCCCAAGUUGGAAGUGACCCACAAGGAUCAUCGAGUCUAACUUCUGGCUCCGCACAGGUUUACCCAAGAAUUCAGACCAGAUGACUAAGAGCACAGUCCAAACUCCGACGGGCUUGGUGCCGUGACAGCACCAAGAUGAGGAGGGUUAGAAGCCAAGUCCCAGUUUGGCAUCACAGGUAACCCCCCUCCCUACCUAUCUCACUUCCCCAGGUGCCCCUCUGUAUUAGGUUUGAGGCCUUGGAUCUUGAAGGAGAGGUA